rnacentral:rRNA from 1 species
ACUGCUAAUACCGCAUAACGUCUACGGACCAAAGGGGGCUUCGGCUCUCGCCCUUAGAUUAGCCCAAGUGGGAUUAGCUAGUUGGUGAGGUAAUGGCUCACCAAGGCGACGAUCCCUAGCUGGCUUGAGAGGAUGAUCAGCCACACUGGAACUGAGACACGGUCCAGACUCCUACGGGAGGCAGCAGUGGGGAAUAUUGCACAAUGGGCGCAAGCCUGAUGCAGCCAUGCCGCGUGUGUGAAGAAGGCCUUAGGGUUGUAAAGCACUUUCAGUAAGGAGGAAAGGUUAGUAGUUAAUACCUGCUGGCUGUGACGUUACUUACAGAAGAAGCACCGGCUAACUCCGUGCCAGCAGCCGCGGUAAUACGGAGGGUGCGAGCGUUAAUCGGAAUUACUGGGCGUAAAGCGUACGCAGGCGGUUUGUUAAGCGAGAUGUGAAAGCCCCGGGCUCAACCUUGGGAACUGCAUUUCGAAACUGGCAAACUAGAGUAU